UACAGAGGGGGCAAGCGUUGUUCGGAAUUACUGGGCGUAAAGGGCGCGUAGGCGGCCCGCUAAGUCGAACGUGAAAUCCCCGAGCUCAACUCGGGAACUGCGUCCGAUACUGGAAGGCUUGAGGAUGGGAGAGGGAUGUAGAAUUCCAGGUGUAGCGGUGAAAUGCGUAGAUAUUGGGAAGAACACCGGUGGCGAAGGCGGCGACCUGGUCCAUUACUGACGCUGAGGCGCGACAGCGUGGGGGGCAAACAGG
rnacentral:rRNA from 1 species